GGUCCGUAGCUCAGUGGCAGAGUAUUUGCUUAACAUGAGGAAGGUUUCAGGUUCAAAUCCUGACAUCACCA